CAGGCACACCGGAGAUUCAUUGUCUCAAAUUCCAGAACAUUCUUUGGCAGUGAAUCAAACUUUACAAAACCAAAGUGUUAUUGGUCUGUCUGAAGCAGAUAAUCCCGCCUAUGAGUUUCUCGAUAGGACUGAGGGCGCACCAGAACACACGUAUGAAACAGCUUCUCCCACCGCACCAAAAAGUA
rnacentral:lncRNA from 1 species